GUUAACCAGAUGCUCCGCAGGGCGCAGCUUUAUACGACCGCAGAGGUUGAACCCUGAACGGUUGGGGCAAGUAUGGACACAACAUUCAAGCUGGAUUCAGCUCUAAAUUUGGAUUGUGAUUAAAUAGUUGACACAGCAUAGGUUUCUGACACAGAAUGAAUGUGGUCUAAUGAACUUAAAAUACUUUUUUUUUCCUUUGAGCAAUUCACUAUGCUGUUGAAUAUUAAUCCUCUCAAAAAAAUGUUUGAAGAAAUUUUCUUUUUGUUUAUGAAAUCUGAAAUGAGAAAAAUUUACCCCCCCCCCAUUUUUUUUUUUCACAUCCCCCUUUCCCUUUUUCCAAAACUGAUCUCAAUUCAAAUUUCUAAUGGAGUUUGCAACAAUAACUACUCAUUUAAAUACAUCAUAAAAUAUUAAAAUGUAACAAAAGGUGCUUGUUACUGAAUGGUAAAGAUUGUUUUAAUUUAUCAGUUGGUAGUAAAGGUGAAUAUACAUUGUAUAUUGUAUAAAACAAUGAUUUAAGUUGAUUCAACUACUAUUCUGGACAAAGAAAGAUAACUCCAAUCAAUUGAAAAUUUCUUGCUAUUGCACAAUAUUGUGCAAUUAGAUAUUUCUUGCUAUUGCGCAAUACUGUGCAAUUGAAAAUAUUUGCUAUUGCACAAUACUGUGCAAUUGAAGA
rnacentral:lncRNA from 1 species